AUGAACAACUAUGUGAAAUAUUGAAUGUAAUGGAAUGAAAUUCCGGGUACUAAACAAAUGAACGGAUGUGUUAAUAUAGGCGUAAAGGAAGAGGGCUCAGGUUCUAAGAAGUCGGAAAGCUCACAAGACAAAGGUAAAUCCUCAUCUUAGACUAUAUGGCGAGUUGAAGCGAGCACGUGAUCACCACUUAACAUAUCAAGCGCUUCCGCUAGUUGCUUAAAUGUUUUGGGUCAAAUAAUUGUGAAAGUUUGUCUAAACUUGUUAGUAGAUGUGUUGGUCAAAAUUUAUGCUUUCUUGGACUUUCUUUGCGUCUAGUCGUAAGGGUCAUGGUAUAUUUUGUAUGAAAGUUGUAUGAAACAGGGGUAUGCUCAUCGUACGAAUGGGUCAUGCCCGAUUUUUGUCAAAAAUAUGAAUUUAACUUGUUAUUUCAAGUCUUAAAAUU